rnacentral:lncRNA from 1 species
GUGUUACCAUAGGAGGUGUUACCAUAGGAGGUGUUACCAUAGGAGGUGUUACCAUAGGAGGUGUUACCAUAGCCAUAGGUGGUGUUACCAUAGGAGGUGUUACCAUAGCCAUAGGAGGUGUUACCAUAGGAGGUGUUACCGUAGCCAUAGGAGGUGUUACCAUAGGAGGUGUUACCAUAGGAGGUGUUACCAUAGCCAUAGGAGGUGUUACCAUAGGAGGUGUUACCAUAGCCAUAGGAGGUGUUACCAUAGGAGGUGUUACCAUAGCCAUAGGAGGUGUUACCAUAGGAGGUGUUACCAUAGGAGGUGUUACCAUAGGAGGUGUUACCAUAGCCAUAGGAGGUGUUACCAUAGCCAUAGGAGGUGUUGCCAUAGGUGGUGUUACCAUUGGAGGUGUUACCAUAGGAGGUGUUACCAUAGGAGGUGUUACCAUAGCCAUAGGAGGUGUUACCAUAGGUGUUGUUACCAUAGGAGGUGUUACCAUAGCCAUAGGAGGUGUUACCAUAGGAGGUGUUACCAUAGGAGGUGUUACCAUAGGAGGUGUUACCAUAGGAGGUGUUACCAUAGCCAUAGGAGGUGUUACCAUAGGAGGUGUUACCAUAGGAGGUGUUACCAUAGGAGGUGUUACCAUAGCCAUAGGAGGUGUUACCAUAGGAGGUGUUACCAUAGCCAUAGGAGGUGUUACCAUAGGAGGUGUUACCAUAGGAGGUGUUACCAUAGGAGGUGUUACCAUAGGAGGUGUUACCAUAGGAGGUGUUACUAUAGGGUGUGUUACCAUAGGAGGUGUUACCAUAGGAGGUGUUACUAUAGGAUGUGUUACCAUAGGAGGUGUUACUAUAGGAUGUGUUACUAUAGGAUGUGUUACUAUAGGAGGUGUUACAAUAGGAGGUGUUACCAUAGCAGAUGUUACUAUAGGAGGUGUUACCAUUGGAGGUUUUACCAUACGCAUACGACACACAAUUAACCUCUAGACGGUCGCCUAGGAUAGGGGGCGCCACAGCGCAUUUUGAAAAAAAUUAGUGCCCAUUUUCAACGACCUACUACUCAAACUCAGAAGCUAGGAUAUGCAUAUAAUUAAUACUUGUGGAUAGAAAACACCCUAAAGUUUCUAAAACUGUUUGAAUGGUGUCUGUGAGUAUAACAGAACUCAUAUGGCAGUCAAAACCCCGAGACAGAUCGAAACAGGAAGUGGAAUUCUGAAUUGCGAACUCAACUUCAUCACGUUGCCUAUUAAUCACACCGUGAGCUAUGGUUCAUUGAGCACUUCCUAUUGCUUCCAAUAGAUGUCCCCAGUCUUUACAAAGUGAUUUGAGUCUCCUACUGUGAAAACUGACAGAAUGACACGCUGUGGAACAUGGUCACACGGAGAGGGCCAUCACCAUUAUGACGCCGGCGCCCCUGGUUACCCUCCCCUUUCGAAACGUUUUGAAACACAAUGCAAUCGUCCCCCUCGAAUCUUAUUGGAGCUCUCGUUGAAAAAGGCCCUAGAGAUUUAUGUUAUACAACGUUUGACAUGUUUGAACGAACCUAAAUAAGAAAAAAAUGCAUUUUUUUGAAAGAGUAGCCCCGCGCACGUCGGAACUUUUGGUGCAGCUUUCAGAACACGCUAACAACAACAAGCUAAUGGAACAUAAAGGAUGACAUUUUUAGAACGAAAAUACAUUUGUUGUGGACCUGGGAUUCCUGGAAGUGCCUAAGGAUGAAGAUAAUCAA